AUUGAACGCUGGCGGCAUGCCUUACACAUGCAAGUCGAACGGUAACGGGCCUUCGGGUGCCGACGAGUGGCGCACGGGUGAGUAAUACAUCGGAACGUGCCCGAUCUUGGGGGAUAACGAGGCGAAAGCUUUGCUAAUACCGCAUACGAUCUACGGAUGAAAGCAGGGGACCGCAAGGCCUUGCGCGGACGGAGCGGCCGAUGGCAGAUUAGGUAGUUGGUGGGAUAAAAGCUUACCAAGCCGACGAUCUGUAGCUGGUCUGAGAGGAUGAUCAGCCACACUGGGACUGGGAGACGGACCAGAAUCCUACGGGAGGCAGCAGGGGGGAAUUUUGGACAAUGGGCGCAAGCCUGAUCCAGCCAUGCCGCGUGCAGGAUGAAGGCCUUCGGGUUGUAAACUGCUUUUGUACGGAACGAAAAGCCUUCUUUUAAUACAGGAGGGUCAUGACGGUACCGUAAGAAUAAGCACCGGCUAACUACGU
rnacentral:rRNA from 1 species